GACCUGCCCCCAACUGAGUCAUUGCCUGCUUUUGUGCUCUGUUUGAUGUGUACAACAAAAGGAGGUUCAGCUAUGUGUCAGACGACCAGUACCUGAGGCCUAUCUGUUACAUUUAAGGGGACUUCCUGAAAAGAACUGCUUCACAUUUAGUUUGCUAAUUUAAAAAAAAAAAAAAGAUAUUUGAAAAGACUAGAAACACAUAAAUGGUUGUAAAAGUCUAAAAUAAGAUGGAAUCAAGUCACUCUUGAGCAGUUUCAACAUGAAUGGUUAGGCCACACGUAUAAGAAUGUGUCGGUGAAGCCACAUCACUGUACGGUAUCUCAGCACACAGUUGCCAUGGCAAAGAAGUCCUACUGGUCUCCAAGGAAGAAAAUCAGCUGACUUGGUGUCUCUAAGCAGAGAAAGAAAAGCCAGAGUGAAACUGAAAUAAAAGUUGUGUGUGUUAAUAUGGUCUAUAUAAGGAUAUGGUCUAAUCAAUCAGGAAGUAACAGUGGAGCACAUCCUCAUAGACCAGGCAAAGGAAAGACACUUUCCAACAGCUUGUGUUUCUGCAACAGAAAUGUUCCACCUCUCAUUAACCGCUGACCUCUUUCGUCAGGAUAUCCUCGUGAUGAACCAGGCCUCCUACAUCCACAGAAGCUCAAUGAAGACUAGCAUGUUGAUUAGCAUGGUCACGGUUUUCAUGGUUUCAUUACAGUGCCUACAAAAACUAUCAGUCACACUAAAAAAUGUGAAUUUCAUUACAUAAGAUAAGAUGUCUUUAGACGUCUUUAUAACGGUCUGCAUCCAUAAGGUUGCCAUGGGGACCAAAGAAAAGCUGCUUCCAUAUCAAGAAAGAGAGGCAUUGAAAGAGUGUGGCUGGCAAUGUUUGCAAGUCCCAAACCUCUUAUUCAUUUCCUCACUCCGGGGUCAUUAUAGGUUACCUGCUUUUUCAUUGCGGCUGCUGUUGUUUUGGUGUUUCAUCUGCUUCUUUUCUUCUAAGCGUGUGCCCUCCGGACUCUGUCCACCCUAGUAGGGACCAGUCGUUCCUCCUCGCAUCAGCUGCGACACAGCCAGGCCUCCGUAUGGCUGGAGGUCGUAAGGUCACCUCGGCUCAGGUGAAGUGUUCCCGCUGCUCUUGGCAAGAGCUGUUCAAUAUGGCUGCUGUAUUUCUGAUGACACUUGACCACGGUACCGAUAGCGAAGAAGGAGACAGUGAUGCCCAGGGGAAGGAAAGCAGCUGGAUGGACGUCAGGGCCGUGUUUACUGCUUAGUUCCAGCGGCAGCCUCGUGUAAACACACACACACGAUCAUGGCUGCCAGCGCAGGUCACUACUACUCAAUGCUGCCUGGAAAACUAAGAGAAGAGACAUGAAGCUCAAGUCUUGAAAAAAGACUUUUAUAAAGAAACUGGGAGUGUCUGCUUGUGCAAUCUGUUAUUUUGAAUUGUAAUACUAUUUCACAAUAUUACUGUUUGUACUGCAUUGAUCAAAUAAACACAGCCUUGGUGAGCAUAA